ACAGAGGGUGCAAACGUUGUUCGGAAUUACUGGGCGUAAAGCGUGUGUAGGCGGUCCGCUAAGUCGGAUGUGAAAGCCCAUGGCUCAACCAUGGAAGUGCACCCGAAACUGCGUCGCUAGAGUCUCGGAGAGGAAGGUGGAAUGCUUGGUGUAGAGGUGAAAUUCGUAGAUAUCAAGCGGAACACCGGUGGCGAAGGCGGCCUUCUGGACGAGUACUGACGCUGAGACGCGAAAGCGUGGGUAGCAAACAGGA
rnacentral:rRNA from 1 species